GGAGGAUGGAAAUGACACAUACACACUACUGUGUAUGGGGGUGGGUAAUUAAACAUACACACUACUGUGUAUGGGGGGGUGGGUAAUGAAACACACACUACUGUAUAUGGGGGUGGGUAAUGAAACACACACACUACUGUAUAUGGGGGGUGGGUGAUGAAACACACACACUACUGUAUAUGGGGGGUGGGUAAUGAAACACACACACUACUGUAUAUGGGGGGUGGGUAAUGAAACACACACACUACUGUAUGUGGGGGUGGGUAAUUAAACACACACACUACUGUAUAUGGGGGUGGGUAAUUAAACACACACACUACUGUAUAUGGGGGGUGGGUAAUUAAACAUACACACUACUGUAUAUGGGGGGUGGGUAAUUAAACAUACACACUACUGUGUAUGGGGGGUGGGUAAUUAAACAUACACACUACUGUAUAUGGGGGGUGGGUAAUGAAACACACACACUACUGUAUGUGGGGGUGGGUAAUGAAACACACACACUACUGUAUGUGGGGGUGGGUAGUUAAACACACACUACUGUAUGUGGGGGUGG
rnacentral:lncRNA from 1 species